rnacentral:lncRNA from 1 species
UGUUUUUUUUUGUAGUGUUGCAUUGGGAAAGGGGAACUUGGACAGUGCCUCCACCGCCGCACAUUUCAUGUCGAUAACGACGGCCAGCCAUCGUCAUCUUCAGCAUUCACCUUGGUCAUCAUGUAAAGAAGAUCAUCAUCGUGCACACUAAGAAUCGGGCCAUAAAAAAUCAGUUUCUUCAAUUCCAGCUCUUGUGUCCCAUCAUCCAACAGCUCGGGCAACAAAGCGGAGUAGCUAUGAUCAAUCGAGAUGUCGUCGACAUGGACGGUGCAUCGUUUCUGCCAGCCGUCCCAAGAGAGCCUCAUGUUCCACACGGUGGCUCUCCAGCCUUUCCCACGGGUCAAGAAAUUCUCGUCGUCGCGUUUUAUCUCGACGAACUUGAUAAGACCAACGUCGCAGCUGGCGACAUCGCAGCUGGCGACGUCGCAGAAAUACUCUGGGGCACAGUAAUAACUGCCGUCCUCGCCUGGGAAGCCAACAUUUGGCACGGGGAAUGAGAUUAAAUCGAUGACAGGAUGCCAAUCGAACAUGUUGCGGAGAAGGAGAAUGCCAUGCUUGAUAUCAGCCCAACCUAGUGAACUUGCUUCGGCCGUGAUCUGCCUGGUGAAGUCGUGCCUGCAACACAGCCGCUUCUAGGAGUCCGAUAAGUGCGCAUGGGACGCCUCCGCGGUCCUCCAUGCCCGUGUUUUGGAUGAGAAGACAUGGGCGUCGAACCGCCAAACAUCGUCCUCGGUGGUCGAGUUGCGGUCGAGGAAGGCCACGGCAUAGUGCUCGUGGUCAGCGUUUUGGGUACCGAGCGAAAUUUCGCGAUCUCGCGCGGUUACCGUGUUUACCGUCCACCCUCGAAAAACACUCAUACCGAGCAAAAUAUCUCGAAUAAUUUGAAAUUUUGAAUUCAAACGCUCACUGACCAGUUAAAUACUGUAGAUGGUAUCUCUUCCAUGACAACAGAACUCCUAGUGUCCUAGUGGCAAAGGAAUCCUUUACUUAGCAGCUAGUUGCGGGUUUGACUCUGGCCUCACGCAUUUUUAUUCUUUUUUAGAAAAAAAAAGCAAAAGUUUAAAAUGCUGCAAUGAGCAGGGGUCAAACUCGCGGCGUGCGAGCAAGCGGAUGCUGCUGUCCACUAACCACUAGGCCAGGCAAUGGUUCUUGAAAGUCUUGAGUAAAAUACGUAUCUAUAUCGCGUAAAAGAUAUUUGAAUUCAAAUUUUGAUUUUAAAUUUCAUUCGAGUUUUUUUCGGAAUUUUGCGGUUACCGUGGUAACCGCAAAUUUCGGUGACCCUUGAGAAAAAAAAAGGUCAGCUUGGGAUCCAAAACCUUGCUCGCGGUCACAAGUCAGGAUGCCCAACUUUUGCCAGGCGAAGAACGUGGGGCGGGGCUGCGGGAGCAGCCACAGUGAUGGUUGCUUCCCCGCAGACCCGUGGGCUGUGUAGACGAAGUGGCUGGAGCCCAAGGUUAGUGCGAAGAGGACGAAGGCGGCCUCGGCGCAGAGGAGCCAAGCUUGGUACUCGUACUUGAGGCCAGGGCAGUUGACAGAGAAGUAGGAGAUGCCCGGCGGGUCGACGAGCCAGAAGGUCACCGCGACCGGCUGGCCCUCGCUCGUGUGGCUCUCGGCGGGUGGUCGCGUUCCGGUGGUCCGAGAUGCGAGCCGCCUUGCAGAGUAGGGCCCAAUUGGGAAACUCAGAGCGUGCCGAGGUGGACAUCGGAGUGGACUCGGAGCGCGUGUCAAUUGGGAUUCAUCCAGGGACCAAUCGCAUCAAAAUAGACGAAUACACGUACACAGAAGAACUUGUAGCUGAAGACAAGACCCGUAUCGUGCCCUUUUGUUUCUCUCAUUUUUUUUCUUUGAUUUUCCACGCUCACAGAACUCACGAGCGUCACGUGUAUAUAUACAUUGCUGGCCAGAAGAGUUAGACGAGGGCUAGAUUAAACUUGUACCCCAAACCUUUCUAAUACAAACCUAAACCAACAUAGAAACCAAACUAGUAGUGAUACUUUGACCCCUAAAAUCAUCGGCUACUUUGAUCACUAGCUCACCAGGAUUCAAAUUCUGGUGCUCGCAUUUAUUCCUGGAUUUAUUUCAGGAUUUCCGGCGAUGUGCUUUCAGUGGGAGGAGACGUUCCCGUCGACGGCGAGGUGACUAUGGUGACUUCGUAAAUUUCAAGAUGAUAUGCCGGCUCAGUCUUUCCGAGGUGCUCAUAGGGGUAGGGUGUGCGUGUGUGUGCAUUCAUAGGGGUGAGUGUAUGCGCGUGUGUAUGAGCGCUUGCGUCUGUGCUGUGUUAAAAAAAAUCAUCGGCUACUUUGAUCACCAUUACCUAAUCUAACAUGAACUCCUACUGACCAGUUGAUUGACUCUACCACGGUUAAAGGGAAGAUCAUCUCCAACGCAAAACGGCCAUGGAUCCAGAGAUACCGAGGUCUAUCAGAUCAGAAAUUCAGACAGACCCAAAUAGAUGGGCGGAAUAUGGGGAAAAGAUUCCUGUGAUUUUCAACGCGGGUUGGUGGCUGACUAGGAGGGAGAACUACAGGAAGGGAACCAAGCGUGGCUUUGAUACAAUAGUCAUAGCGGCCAGUUGGGCUUUUUGAAAGCAACGCAACGCCAGAGUGUUUCAUCGGAUGAAUCAGCAGAUGAUCGUGACUGAUCUGGCCCUCGCCAUCAUUGCAGAUCUGAAGGAGUGGAGGUUGGCGGGCUUGGGUGGUAUAGGGUUUGCAGCGUUUUGUGAGAGUGUAGGCAUAGAUUAAUAUUUAGGGUGUUUAAAGUGUUUUAGGGUGUGCGCCUUCGAUGGAAGUUCGCUUCCAUUCAUAGGCUUCUUGUAUAUUGACCUUUGCUCUCUUUUAUAAAAUUAAGAUACACUAUUGGCGUACUUUUGGAAAAAAAAUCAACGCGGGCUUGUUCGAGUCGGUGGGUGGCGGUGCGACCUCGGGUAGAGGGGUGGAUCGACGGGGCCGUCGUUGCAGGACGGGCUGCGGCUGCCGUUGGCAGAGGGAGGAGGACUGGACGAGGGUGUGGGGAAUCGUCGUGUGAAUUUAUAUGGCAGGUGCUACUUGCGGCGAGUGAAGUCAACGAUUGGUUUUUUGGACCAAUGUGGAUCAGUUUUGCAAGUCUGGGAGGUCAAAUACAUAAACUCUCUACUGAAAUAAAAAAAAUGCGUGCCUCUUAAAAAAAUUACGGGGAUAUACGCAAAUUUUCCCAAUUUUUUUUUUAGAACCGGGCUUUACCCCUUUCCAUUGCAAAGAACGGAAAUACAACCAGUUCAAGUGAGAAAGACAGGAGGAGGGAAAGAGGUAUAGCGAGUUCUAGCACUACCAGGAAACCCACCAUACUCGCUCGCCGUCGAAACGAGUAUCAUGGGGCGAAAACCUGGAUAGCACGACAUAACAUCUAGCCUAUUACAUUCUCAAAAGAUCAGACUAAGUAUCAAAACACAGCCGCGUGCCAAUCAGACAGAAAGCAAUCUUCUCCGAGAAGAAGCAGCAUCGAAAUCGCGCGCCCGACAACUCUUCAUCCAGCGCAACUCCAGAAACAUCAAGCACCUUGGAUUGGUUGCUUGACGGCACCACACAUCUUCAUCAGCUGCAUUGUGCUAGCCCUGAUCAUCUCAGCUCCAGUGCGCAGCUCCUUGGCGUCCUCUCCUUGUUGUAGCCCUGUCCAGUAAAGUAGAAAAGAGCAUAGAGAAAACACAAUCUCAAAAGGAGUCUUGAUUUGUUUUUUUUUUCAAAAGUAGCUCGAUUGCGUGCCAGCCAAAUGGCCCAACAUGUGGCCGCUAAGCCCACUGUAUAAAACGUUUGUUUCCCAGGAAGAAAUUUAUGGCACCACACGAAGUAUUGCCAGUAAUUCGACGGGCAUCUAUCAGUGCCAAGAACUACUCCAAUAGAUCGCCAGACAAUUCUGGCCACGGGACAAGUAAAGAAUAGGUGUUGCACCGUUUCCACCUGUUUGCAGAAAGAGCAACAGGGAUUCCCUGGCCAUUUCCUCUUGCUCAUCACUUGCCUAGUAAGAACUGCAUCCUGUGACAUUUGCCGUAGGAAGAUUUUGAUUUUUAGAGAGAUCUUGGCUUUCCAAAUCCAUCUAUAAUGGCACCCACUUAGAGGUUUCUCCAACAUCUUAUAAACUGACUUAGUGGUGAACUUGCCAUUCUGAUUUAGUCCCCAAAAGACACGAUCACUCCUCUCAUCAAGGGGAAUACUUUUAACUAUAGCACGCAUAUCUACCCACUGUUUGAACAGCUCAGGGGUAAGCCUGCGCCUGAAUAUAGAAGUGUUAUCAAGUUCAUCUCUUUUGUCCAGGGUGCUCGUUGGAUAAUUGCAAAUCUCAAAUAAGUGCGGAUAUUGAUCCUGAAAUGGGAUCAGCCCAUUUAUUGGAUCUUUCCAUAGUCUAAUCAAGUUCCCAGCACCCGUCUCAAUCUUUCUGCCCAUCAUAUAGAUGUUUUUAAUCUUAAGCAAGGCUUUCCAACAGGGCAAAUUUUCCUAAAUAUAAGUGCCACCCGUGUGGCACAAAGCAAUCCGGUCAUAACGUUUUUUACAACUAAAGUUGUCAUCCGAAAAGAAAAAAACUAAAACUUGCCAUCCAAAAAGAAAGUUGUCAUGCUUGACAAUCAAAAUUGUGAUCCUAGCAACACUAAAUUUGCCAUAAAAACAUUCGGACUUGCCAUAUGUUUAUGCCACACGUGUGGUCCUAAACUUUUGACAAGUCUGGGAGGUCAAAUACGUAAAUUUUCAACAUGAACUUUUAUGUGAAACGCACCCUAAGAAUGCACUCACAUAUAGCUGUAAUGGGUUCGUUUUAACUUCAAAUGUAGUCUUUUCUCAUUUGUAAAAACCCCUAAAACUAUAUUUAUGUCAUACUUAGAAAUAAUGAAUUGUAGUUUUUGAAUUCAAAGUACAUAUUAAAAAUUAAAACUGAAUAUAGGCAUAAUCAAAUAUUUUUCAAUUUAAUGUAUAAUAUAUUGUUUGAAUCUGUGGAAAGAGGACUAUAACUGAAUUUAAAUUGAAAUGAUGGAUUUUAGAAUAUAUGUAUUAUGUUGAAAUUAAACCUCACAAUUAGAAAAUCAGGCAAAAAAAAUGUGUGCCAUUACUUACAAAUAUGACUAGAAGUUACUGGGAAGACAGCAGCACGGUAUAUAGCAACAAUAACACGAGCAUCACGUUCGAACAAGACCCGCAUAAUUCAGGACUGGCUCCAAACCUUUAAAUAACAUAUAGGCAGCAGAACAAUUAGAGUAUGCAUUUCUUUCGACAAAGUGCUUAGACCAAGGAUAUCGAUUUUUUAAGAAAGAUACUGUCUAAUAAACAAUAAUUAUCAGUAUCAAUGUUUCUAAGCCGACUUAAAAGUAUGUCAUCUUCACAAGAUGCAUUAUCACCAGCAAAAAUACUUCUGUUCACAAGCAAGACGCAUCAGUUUCCCUAUACGUUAGCGGAGCACAUCAAGAGAACGAUG